GCAAUGGUGGCCCUCCUGAUGACACGGCCCCAUCUAGGGGGCAGACGGUCCACUGGGCCAGGGUUCCAGAACCACUGAGUUGUAAGGACUCUGGGUUCAUGGAAAGGGAAACUGAGGCUCGAGAGGGGCUGACACUGGGUAAGUCACGGGGCAACACAGGUCGGACACCUGGCCCCCAGGAAGGAAGCCAGAGCCAGCAAGGCCAGCACGGGUCUAGCCCGCUGUGUGACCUGGGCAAGCCAUUCAACCUCUCUGGGCCCCCUUCCCCAGAGAGGAAGCCUGUGCUCACAGGCCGCGCAAGUCCAGUCGGGCUCCUGGCCCCCACCCUUCCAGAGCCCCCCCAGCGUGGAGCCGCCAGGCCUUCCUGUUUACUCGAGGCCCCUCUUGCGGCUGGGAGGCGACAGCCUUGGCCUCCUCUGCUCCCAGCUUCCUUCCUCUCCCACUUCAGUGCCUCCGGCCACGGCCCUUGGGACCCCAGAGGCCAAGACAUGGAGGUGCAGUCCGGGGGGCAUCUAAGGCCACCACCCCAGCAAGCCCUGCCCAGGAGCACGCCCUCGCCGAGACUCCCCGUCAUAGAGGCAUCAAUUCCUCCUGCUUCUUAGAAUGUCCCCGCACCUUGGAACAAGCCACGCCAGAAGUGUCCCUAGAAACCAGAAGAGUGACUUCAUCAAGGACCUCUGGACCCAUACCUGCCACGCCCACCUCAGUCCGCGGGGAUGCACAGCCGACCCCAGGAAGGACCCUCCUCCUGCUUCCCUGGCCCCUCUGGUCCUUCCUCGCUGACACUGUCUUCCUGAGCCACCGCAGAGCAGCCGCUGUGGCCUGAGGACCAGUGGCUGGGCGCCACCAUCCCACCCAGACCUGCCCGGUCAGCCCCUGCGCCUGAGGCUGAAGUUCAAGGCCAGUCUCAGCAAGUCGGCGAGAUCCCAUCUUGAAGUGAAAGCUAAAAGGGGCUGGGGAUGUGGCCGUGGUCCAGCAGCCCCGGGUCCAGCCCCCAGCGCAGCCCAAACAGCUCCCGGGGAGACUGCAUGAGCCGCCCACCUGCCUCCCGCCUGCUCCGAACCCCCGUCCUCCUUGUCCCUUAGGCUUAACCUGAACCUGCGAGGCCUUUCCAACUCCCGCCGGUCCCCAGGGAGGACAAGGAUGAGGAGCAAGUUAAAGGGCCCCAGGAGGGAGCAGGAGGCGAGCCGGAAGAGGACUUGUCCUAAGACAACUGGUCCCUUCCCUGCUGUCCCAGAUUAAAGGAGAGGGACGCCAUUUGAAAGGCUGAGGCAGGAGGGUCUCGUGUUCAAGGUCAGCCUGGGCAAACAGCAAGACCCUGACUCAGAAUCAAAUUUAAAAAAGGACUGGAGAGGAAGCUUGGUGGUCGAGCAUCUUUCUAGGAUGUGGAAGGCCCCAGAUUCCACUGGCAGCAGAGAGAGAGAGAGAGAGAGAGAGAGAUUUGCCCAGUGUCACUAAAUGGUCCUGGUUUCAACAAACCAGCUACAGACACCGUUUGGGAAACUGGAAAAAAUUGCACAGGACUAAGCGUGGGUGACACAGUGACCGUGCUGACCCAGCCGUCCAUGGUGACUUAGGGAAGGCUCUUAGUCUUCAGAGAGGCAUCCUGAAGCCACAUUGCAGGGGGGACAUUUCUUCACAGCUUUUACUUACUGUACAACCCUUCGGCAAAAGUAGAACAAGGAAGAGAGGAGAAGUGCCACUUGCCA
rnacentral:lncRNA from 1 species